rnacentral:rRNA from 1 species
CAGUCGCCACGGUAAUACGUAGGGUGCGAGCGUUAAUCGGAAUUACUGGGCGUAAAGCGCACGUAGGCUGCUUUGUAAGUCAGAGGUGAAAGCCCGGGGCUCAACCCCGGAUGUGCCUUUGAGACUGCAGGGCUAGAACGUCGGAGAGGUGAGUGGAAUUCCGAGUGUAGAGGUGAAAUUCGUAGAUAUUCGGAAGAACACCAGUGGCGAAGGCGGCUCACUGGACGACUGUUGACGCUGAGGUGCGAAAGCGUGGGGAGCAAACAGGAUUAGAUACCCCAGUAGUCCCUGUCUCUUAUAC